rnacentral:rRNA from 1 species
GAUGAACGCUGGCGGCGUGCCUAAUACAUGCAAGUCGAGCGAACAGACGAUGAGCUUGCUCCUCUGACGUUAGCGGCGGACGGGUGAGUAAGACGUGGAUAACCUACCUAUAUUACUGGGAGAACUUCGGGAAACCAGAGCUACUACUAGAUAAUAUAAUUUACCGCAUGAUUCAGUAGAUAUACACGGUUUUGCCGUCACUUAUAGACGGAUCGAUGUUGGAUUAGCUAGUUGGUAAGGUAACGGCCCACCAAGGCGACGAUCCGUAGCUGGUCUGAGAGGAUGAUCAGCCACACUGGAACUGAGACACGGUCCAGACUCCUACGGGAGGCAGCAGUGGGGAAUAUUGGACAAUGGGCGCAAGCCUGAUCCAGCCAUACCGCGUGGGUGAAGAAGGCCUUCGGGUUGUAAAGCCCUUUUGUUGGGAAAGAAAAGCAGCAGGUUAAUACCCCGCUGUUCUGACGGUACCCAAAGAAUAAGCACCGGCUAACUUCGUG